rnacentral:rRNA from 1 species
UGAGCAAUCUGCCCUUCUCUUCGGAAUAAGCGUUGGACACGACGUCUAAUGCCGAAUACGACCUCCUUUCGCAUGAUCGGAGGUGGAAAGCUCCGGCGGAGAAGGAUGAGCUCGCGGCCUAUCAGCUAGUUGCUGUGGGUAAUGGCCCACCAAGGCGACGACGGGUAGCCGGCCUGAGAGGGUGUCCGGCCACACUGGGACUGAGACACGGCCCAGACUCCGUAGGGAGG